CUACAGAGAUUCCAGAACCCUAUAUCAUCCCAGGUUUAGGGAAAAGGCAAAGAAGCACUACCUCUCUAGAGAACCAGAAAAGAAGAAAGCAGUGGUGCUUAUUACCUAAGCAUCUAAAAAAACUCCUUGAAGCCACGCAUGUCAGCAUUAAAAGCAUCAAAUCAGCACUGCCAUUGAAGGCAUCUUGUAUCUGCCUUGAAGAAAAUACAUACUAGGAGCAGGAUUUCAUCAUCUUCCUAAGGACAAAGAAUUAUAAAGGAUACAAAACAAGUUUCAGUUUUGGCUUCUAAGGAAACUGCUGGGAGCAAAAGAGUUUGCUUCAACUGACCACAAAAGUUCUUAUUCAUUAUAUAAAGUGGACAUGGAAAUCCUAAUUUCAGAAGCAGAAUAUCAUUCCAUGGAGCUCAAAUAAAAGGAAAAAUUUUCCACCAAAUCUUCCCCAAAGAAACCAUACUUAAAUGCCUUGAUCCCUUACUUACCUAUUUGGUGAAGGUGAAUCAGGUCAACAGUUGAAGGACUCUAUCUUUUCAAGAUACAUAUUUGAAGAACCACAGAUGAAAUUAUAGUAUGUGCAGGACUGACUUCCAAAUGAUAUUACAGGAGGCUGACUGAGGAGAUGGAUAAAACAAUUCUGGUCAAAAGCUGAUAGAUAAUGAAUAUAUAGGAAUUCAUUACACUAUCCUCUCUACAUUUAAAUAUAUUUGAAGUCUUCCAAAAUUGAAAAAUAUUAAAAAAUUAAAAUUAAGAACUUCAAAUGAGAAACUAAAUAAACAAUAAAAAGGAGCUCCAUAUAUAAAUCUCUCAGUUCACAUACUAUAAUUAAAUACAGGGGUAUAAUAUUAUUAGAUAUCUUCCAUAAACAAAGGGAAAAAUAAUGAGAGAAAGUCAUCUUUGGAGGAAC